rnacentral:tRNA from 1 species
GGCGCAAAGUGUGGUGCUGAGCUAACUCUUUGAUUUGUAAGAGCUAAAACGGCCUGCAAAGCCGUGUAGACGGGUUCGACUCCCGUCCUCGCCUCCA